rnacentral:tRNA from 1 species
GAGGUACUGGCUCAGUGGUAGAGCGCUCACCUAGCAUAUGUGAAGCACUGGGUUCAAUCCUCAGCACCACA